UCCUGGUUAACCCAGGCAGUCUCAUUAGAGUUCCCACCUUUACGUGUUGGCAACUAAUGAUAAGGGUUGCGCUCGUUGCGGGACUUAACCCAACACCUCACGGCACGAGCUGACGACAGCCAUGCAGCACCUGUGCACCGACCCCGAAGGGAAAUAACAUUUCUGCUAUCGUCCGGUGCAUGUCAAGCCUGGGUAAGGUUCUUCGCGUUGCAUCGAAUUAAACCACAUUCUCCACUGCUUGUGCGGGUCCCCGUCAAUUCUUUUGAGUUUCAGCCUUGCGACUGUACUCCCCAGGCGGUAUACUUAUCGCGUUAGCUACGGCACAACUAGGGUUGAAUCCAGUUACACCAAGUAUACAUCGUUUACGGCAAGGACUAC
rnacentral:misc_RNA from 1 species